rnacentral:rRNA from 1 species
CUCAACCUAAAAAAUGAGAGCGACGGGCGAUGUGUACAUAUCCUAGAACCAAUAUCAUUAAAAUAAUCUUUAAUAAAUUACAAUCAAAUCCACUUUCAUGCCAAUAAAAUUACAACUAACAAUCCAAUAAACAAAAAUACAAUGUAAUCCACCUCAAACUCAAAAACAAGCUGCACCUUGACCUGAAAUAAAUUAUACCCAAUAAAACUAGAAAAUUAUAAACACUAAAAAGAUCUUCAUUAUAACGGCGGUAUACAAACAAAAAAAAUUAAGUAAGGUACAACGUGGACUAUCGAUUACAGAGCAGAUUCCUCUGAAAGGAAUAGGAUACCGCCAAAUUCUUUAGGUUUCAAGAACAUAACUAGUACUACCCAGGAAAAAUCAAACUUAACAUCUAAAAUAAUA